UGAACUUGGCCUUUGGUGUUCGGAGUUGACCUCCCUGGAAAAGGUCCUGUGGCUUCUGUGUGGGUGGGCGCUGUCUGCCCAGCCCCGGGGAUUCUGUCUCUCCUGAUUUUCUCCUUCGAGCCUCCUGCAGAGACUGGAUACUGAAUGUCCUCCUCCCACCCCCUCCACGUACUCUACCAGACAAUCUGGAGCCUCAUCAAGCGCUGGGAGUAUUUCUGGCAGAAGGCAUCUGCGCCGCCUGGGUUUGUGAACAAGUCAGCCAGAGGCAGCCAAAGGGGGACAGAGGAUGGAACCACUGUCCCAACGGGGAGGCCUGGAAGCUAGGGCAGGGGGCAGGAGAAUCAGAAAGAGCACGUGGUGUGCAGGGAGCAGGUGCAGGCUCCCCAGCGGACAUUGGCAUGAGGAUGUACUUCAGAGUGGCUUUGUGAGCUUCAGAACAUGUAAGCAGAGAAUUCAGAGACGGGAGGCCCUGUGAUUUACCAGAAGGGCACAGGUUUGCCGCUCACCCUGUGGCCUGGGGAGCUCACACCACGUUCCAGCGCUUUGGAUAGCAAAGUGCUGAAUAAUCCCUCUCGUCACCAGCUCUCGGAUGGAAGCGAGCCUGAGCUUGCUCAGUAAGAUUCCCCGGCGAACAUCAGGCGUCUCCAGUCUCUGGCGGGGAUGAUUCCAGGACUCUCUAUCUUGUCUGUUCCUGGCUGGGACAUAACAGUCACCCAAACACUGGCCCGAUCCCACAAGUAUGCAAGAAUCUUGGGUCACGGAUUCUCCCUGCUGACUUCAUGUCUGACUACUGCAAACUGGAGCCUGGGAUUCAGUGAUGUCCAGUGCAGCUGCUGAUCUCACAGGAUGCCUUCCAGAGAAGGUGACGGCCAAACAAGCUGGAGAGAAGUUAAGCCCUCCAGGCAGCAUCAGCGCAUGAAGACAGAGACUGGGAUGAAACCACAGGGGACUCUCCAGGGAGCAGUGUGAGCUGCAGACCCACUGACCAAAAGGAGAUUGCCAGAGGGAGGUCUGAGUGGGGAGUUGCCACAGACACAGACUGUGCAAGAACACAGAGGCUGGUCAGAUUCGCUGGGCUCCAGGAGGAAAAGAGAUAGACACAGCGGGGACUCUGACGUAGGGUGCACUGUCCGGUGUGGGUCAGAGAGUGACUGAAGGCUUUGGUGGGACCAGUAGCUCCACUAACCCUUGUAAAGUUACCCGCAGGGCUGCCACCUCUACCCUCUCAUGACAACCACCCUCAUCAUCACUGCCACCAUUAUCACCCUCACUGCUCCAGCAUGGCCAAACUAUUACCACCAUCACCACCAUCACCAUAGCUAUCCCAUCACUAACUUUGUCACCAUCACCAUGAUCACCAUCCCCACCACCACUAUCACAACCAUCACCAUCACAAUCACCACCAUCAUCACCACUAUGAUCACUACCAUCACCAUCACCAUUACCCCCACCAUCAUCACCUCCCAUCACCACCUUGAUCACCACCAUCACCAUCACCACCAUCACUAUCAUCAUCACCAUCACCAUACUACCCCUACCACCAUCAUUAGCAUCACCACUAUGAUCACCAUCAUCACUGUUACUGCUGUGGCCGUGGUACCAUCAUUCCACCACCACCAUCCGGUUACACAAAUCUGCUGUUGCCAACACUGCCCCAUCACCGUUACUGCCAUUCCACCCUCAUGGUCCCCACCCUCACUGCCACUGUCACUCUGACAUCACAGCCAUCACUAAAUUCUGGCUGCUCCGUGCGCUGAGGUUCCCAAGGUGGCUCUACGUCCUGCUCAGUCUCGGCUUUCUCUGCCCGAGUUCGCCCUGCACAGUUACUUGAAGGAGCAUGAAAUGAGCCACACUUGCUCCACAUUUGCUCCGCUGUGCAGAGGAGCUGGCUGGUGAUGCUGUGCCCGCACAGGUGAGCAGAGGAGCAGGCUAUAAUAACCACGCAGCAGAUGGCAGUGACAAUCCUCCCUCCAGAAGGGCCUGUGUGGUCAUGGCAACCCGAGGCUGGUCCACAAACUCCACGUAGGUCCUCAUUGUCUGCUCUGCUUUGGGUGGAUGCUAUAAACACAGGUUUGCUCUCUUUGAAGGAAAAUUCGCACGCCAAAUGAACUCUGGUACAAAGCACCUCUAACCAGUCAGUAAUUUUCUGACAAAUUAAAGCACCUGUGUUUCAUUGUGUAGCAAGCUUCCAUUCACAGCCCCUCUGUGCACCCGGACUUCUCAUCCUCUGUGUGUUAACUUGCUCACCCCCAGCAAGUCUUCCUAUUGUUCCCAGGAGCAGUCACUGCAUUUCUACAACAAUGGUGUCUUCACCUAAGUGUAUAGAAUCACAGUAAUGACACCUCCAGCCACACUUGCUGCUCCAAAGACAAGGGAGGAAACAUCCUCACAGCGUGGAUCUUCUGGAGUUUCCUUUAGGGUCCAUUUUGCCCAUGGCCAUCUUCAGCAGUCCAAGGAUCACUUAUUUACAUCACAGAGGCUUUUAAAAAAUAAUAUAGCUCAUCAUCUUUCUCAGCCCCAGCAGUUCUGGCCAUGGGAGGAGGCCAUUCUGUGAUGUAGGGCCCGCCCAGGCUGUGCAUCAGAUGAUACUGAGCAGUAGCCCCGGGUUCCAGCCACCAGAGGCCAAUAGCAUUGUCCCUCAAACUGUGACAGUUAGAAGUGUUCCUAGGACAUGCCAAAUGCCCCCAGGGGGCAAAAAUCAACCCUGGCUGGGAAAUGCCAACCUAGAGUAAAAUCAUCAAUUCUUAAGUAAGUUAAUGUUCUUAUAACAGGUAAGCUAUGACGUCACCUACCAUGUUACUAACACAGUCUACUUAGGAGUAGAGAGACUCAGCCAUGCCUAAAGGGUAGAGAUGGCGAACUCAGCACAUAACCUGGGCAGCGGGCUCCUGAGGGUUUUGUUGGAACAGUGAUAUUUAAGAGUCAUCCUUGCUCCCUCUCUCCCUCCUGCCCAUCCACCCAAUCAUCUACUCUCCUCCCAUCCACCCUUCCAUCAUCUAUGCACGGAUGUUCGGCCAGGGCCUACCACAGGGCCCGCAGUGCAGGUGGGAUGCACAGACUACACAUGGGCUCCUCGAGGAUUUCACAGUCACACAUUCCUCUCAUGGGAGUGGCAUGACCACAGGGGACAGUUUUGGAAGUGCUGGGGAACACUAUGAUUACCGCAGUGUCUGGGGUGCCAUCGGCAUCCUUUGGACACAACCUAGGAAAGCCGGGGCAUCUGGAACGGCACGAAGAGCCCUCUCCUCUCCUGCCAGGGUGUUUCACGGGGCCCGCUGGCUGGUCUGAAAGUUCAGAAAUUAUUCCAGAGUGCGAUCUGGUUUUAGACAUCAUGGUCGAGGGCGGCCACCAAGAGCCUCGCCCAGCUUCCCAAGCCCGCCCCAGGCCUCUGACCCUGGACUGCCCCUCCACUCCGCUGCUGCCUGUCCACCAUACUCCCGAGCUGACCCUGUGGAGUCUUCCUGGGCACCUGUCCCCACCGGGCUGGGGUGCCCAUUCUUAGGAUGGCGGGUCCCUGUCAUACUGCACCCCUGGGGUUGUAGCCGUUAUUGACUGUGCUGAGGCCUCCUUCAUAUCCACUCCUGAGGAAGGGCGUCUGUGCCCGCUGCUCUUAACACCAAGGUCACCUUGGGCCCAGGGGAAAGUACAGAGCUCAGAAGUGGGGUGCUCUGUUCACAUGGUUUCUUGACACCACACUGGGAGCUCAGAUGAUGUCAGCUGGAAGAACCCCAUCAGGCAGCCCAGUCACCCCCACGGCAGCCCUCCGUCUCCCUGCUCACAUUGUAGCGUUCCAUGAGAGGACACAUGCCAAGUAUCAAGCUGUUCGGCGGAGAAAAGCGAAUCUGUCCUCAGUGACACGUCCUCCACACACUAGACCCGGGCUCCCGCGGCUGGGAUGGGGCACCCUCAGCACCCUCCUCAGAUGAGCAGCUGGACACGGGUGUGGCUCACAGAGGUGGUCACCUGCCCGGGAGACCUUGCGCAGAGCCUGCAUGAAGCGACCUGUGCCCUGACGCUCUGCUCGGCCCCCACAGGACCGCACCUGCAAACUGUAGUGUGACUUCCCCCUUCCCGUACCCCAAGAUGCAGAGCCCUGCCAGUGCCACCGUUCCCAUGACAGAAAGAUGACUGCUUCAACUUGACAGUUUCGAGAACUACAAAUUGUUCGUGUUCCUGGAUAUCAAAUGGUGACAUUAAAAUUACUUAAUUUAAUAUCCUCAAUAUACUCUUUGGCUGCCUCCCCCCCCCUUCCUUUCAAGUUUCUCAUGGCUUAUUAUAAACUGAUAUAAUUACUUCCCAGGAA